rnacentral:rRNA from 1 species
UCGGCAACGGAUAUCUCGGCUCUCGCAUCGAUGAAGAACGUAGCGAAAUGCGAUACUUGGUGUGAAUUGCAGAAUCCCGUGAACCAUCGAGUCUUUGAACGCAAGUUGCGCCCGAAGCCGUCAGGCCGAGGGCACGUCUGCCUGGGCGUCACACACCGU